rnacentral:lncRNA from 1 species
GCCCAUAAGAUACAUCUAGGGAUGCCAUAACUAUGUCCUCAAUGCAAAUAAGGGUAUAAAGUCAAGCGCAGCCGACAAUUAGAAUGUGCCAAUCAUAAUCACCAACUGCAAUCCCUAGGCACCCAUCCUUUCUCUCAAAUUCUUCUCCCUUAAAAAAUAAACCCUACAACUUCAACGCCACCUCUGACCCAACAUCAUCGUCCCCGAUCGAACCUCCGGUUAAACUUUUUGGCUUCAACCGAACCACCGGCGACACCUGUGUUUCGAUCAACCUCCGACAAACCCCACCACAUUCCGACCGGACUCCGGCGAUCGCUACUCGGAACUCGGUACUUGGAACUCCGCUUAUUUUCUACGAACACGCACAAACAGUUCCGACGCUAAAUCGAGGAUGAUGAUGGUUCCUCUCGUGUUCGGGUUUCGGUUUCAGGCCUCCGUGCGAGAAGGGGCAGGGGCAACAACACACACACACACACCCAGCCGCCCCCUUAAUGUUUGGACGUAGUUGAACUACUGUAUGUCAAGUAACUAGUCUUACCGAGCAAACCAAGGUUAUUGAUACGUGUGGAUGUGGAACUUGCGGUCUGGGAUGCUGGAGUGGUCAUGGGUCGAGAUACAUGGAAACUUGAAACGAGACUAGAAGAUUACAU